rnacentral:rRNA from 1 species
CUUAGUGGCGGACGGGUGAGUAACGCGUGGGUAACCUGCCUCACACAGGGGGAUAACAGUUGGAAACGACCGCUAAUACCGCAUAACCCGCCGGUGCCGCAUGGCACUGACGGAAAAGAUUUAUCGGUGUGAGAUGGACCCGCGUCUGAUUAGCCAGUUGGCAGGGUAACGGCCUACCAAAGCGACGAUCAGUAGCCGGCCUGAGAGGGUGAACGGCCACAUUGGGACUGAGACACGGCCCAAACUCCUACGGAAGGCAGCAG